UGUUUUUUACCGCUCCUCUUUCCCUUCGGAUUACCUAUUUUUCUCAGACUCGAAAAAGAUAAUCUUUUCAAUGUCAUCACCGUCAAUUUCUUACUAAAUUAGUGGAGCUUGUUAAUGCUGCAAUUUCAGCUUCAUUGAUAUUUCCUGAAUCUUCAUCAAGCUGGCAUAUCUAGAGACCAGAGUACAUACCACUAGAGGCCUAGACGUUGUAUGCUCGCUGGCAAAACAUCAAGAGACGACUAUUCUUCACCAGAUUGGUCCCCAUGUAAGGCAUAUUUCUGUUGUCAGCAAUUUGCAGAAGCAAAUAACUUGUGAUGCGAUAUAGUUCAGACAGAGUAGUACGGAGCAAUUAUUGAAGAAAUAUUUGAUCAACUGGCGUUAGAGUUUCAGUCAAUCAAGUUU